rnacentral:snoRNA from 1 species
UGGGAUGAUGAUAUUCUAAGACUAGAGUCUCUGAAAUGCAUGAAGAUAUUCACAGUGCACUGACCA